UUUUUUUUUUUUUUUUUUUUUUGACGGAGCCUCGCUCUGUCGCCGAGGCUGGAGUGCAGUGGCACUAUCUCGGCUCACUGCAAGCUCCGCCUCCCGGGUUCACACCAUUCUCCUGCCUCAGCCUCCCGAGUAGAGUAGCUGGGACCACAGGCUCCCGCCACCACGCCUGGCUAAUUUUUUUGUAUUUUUAGUAGAGACGGGGUUUCACCGUGUUAGCCAAGAUGGACACCAUCUCCUGACCUCGUGAUCCGCCCGCCUCGGCCUCCCAAAGUGCUGGGAUUACCGGCGUGAGCCACUGCGCCCGGCCUCAAAAAGCAUUUUUAAUUUAAAUAAAUGCAGUAUGAGGGCAGUGAACUUGGAGGUAAUCAGCAAACAGGGCGUGGCCUUCGUGAUGUCCUUCGACUUAGUGGUAGCAAUUUUUAGAGAUGGCCCAAGCAAGGCUUAGAAGAAGGUAGGUGAGCCAAGGUGCAACACCCAGGAACCCAGAAGCCGGCUGGCCAGGCAGUGGAAAGGCGCAGGCGCAGGGGUGCGCGAUGCCUCCGUGGAGCGGAGCCGCCUGCACCUCCAGAGAGGCGCCACACGGGGGCAGCCUCGGAGGCCGACUCCGCGCCGCGCGCUAAGAGGAACCCAGCUGGUGCAGCAGGCGGGGAGUAAGCCGCAGAAAACCCGUGAAACACAGGUGCGUCGCCAGCUUCUUGGUGCAAAACCCAACACCUGGCUCACAAAACAGAAGGUAAUACCGCUUGGUUCCACUGGGGCUCGAACCCAGGACCUUCUGCGUGUAAAGCAGACGUGAUAACCACUACACUAUGGAACCUCACAAGAACCAACGGCUUCUCCAGGAUUUAAUAACUGUUCCAAAAGACGUUUUGGCACCGGGAAAUGGUUAUGUGGACUUGACAUCCGGCGAUUGUGCACAGAGAAAAACUUUCAAAAGGAUUCCUCAUUUUCCAGUGUUCAAAGGAAGACGACCGCGCAGAAACAUUGUAGAAAUGUCUGCGUCUCCAGCUUCCUGAAGCAAAACCCAAGAUUGGGCUCGCAAAAUGUUAAUACUAAGCAUUUUAGAGAAAGGAAAGAAAAGAAAAAAGAAAAAAAUUGGAGACCAUGUCGUGGUUCCACUGGGGCUCGAACCCAGGACCUUCUGCGUGUAAAGCAGACGUGAUAACCGCUACACUAUGGAACCGCGUGCAGGGUUUUGACGUCUGGAUUUAGUAAUUCUGCAUAAAGACAUGUUAGCAACAUGGACCGAAACGGAUUUACUGCUCAGCAAUCGUGAACAGAGAGACAAACUUACACAAGGAUUACAGAUUUUCCAGUGUAAUUCCUACCCACACUCUCCUUAGAGGCAAAGGUUUCACACUUACUCUUGGAAAGAAAGUGCCUCCC
rnacentral:tRNA from 1 species